rnacentral:rRNA from 1 species
GCUAUGACGGGUAACGGGGAAUUAGAGUUCGAUUCCGGAGAGGGAGCCUGAGAAAUAGCUACCACAUCUAAGGAAGGCAGGAGGCGCGUAAAUUACCCAAUUCUAAAGAAGAGAGGUAGUGACAAGAAAUAACAAUGCAAGGCCAAUUUUUGGUUUUGUAAUUGGAAUGGUGGGAAUUUAAAACCUUCCCAGAGUAACAAUUGGAGGGCAAGUCUGGUGCCAGCAGCCGCGGUAAUUCCAGCUCCAAUAGCGUAUAUUAAAAUUGUUGCAGUUAAAACGCUCGUAGAUGAAU